GCGGUGGCAGAGGCGGCAGGACGCAAGGCCCACUCCUGGCCUGGCGGCGCUCCCAAGCCCAUCCCUCCCACUUGCCCCGCCAGCGGGCGAGGGGGUGAGACUGGACCAGCCCAGCGAUGGAGAGGGUGUUGCUUUAUACUCAGGAGCCAAGGAACGGAGAGGAAUCGAGGUUGGAUGAGAGAUUGGACUUCUGAGGAGAAGGAAGCAGGGCCAUGGCGAGCUCCACACUGACACCCCCAGCCCUGGCAACUUUGGCCCUGGCAACAGCAUUCUUAGAUACCCAACAAGGGUGUCUUACUCAGUAGCACAUGACACCAGGCACCUGUUUGGAGCUUCUGGAGAGGUAAGCCCAGACUCUGAUGGGCUUUGCAGUAGAUGUGGCAAUGGUCAGGCAGGUAGACACUAGGGGGAGGAGGCGGGAACGCUCCAGGCAUCCUGGACCCCAGCUUGGUUGUCCCCUGGGCUCUGCCCACCUGUUCUGAGGGACCUGUGGAGAGGUGACAGGCACAAGAGCCCUGGAUUCCAGACCUACCUCUACCCACUGUGUGCCCCUGGGCCCCAGCCUCCCCACCAUACGAAGAGGUAAACCGUAGGAUCCCGUGUUACCCCACCUGGUGUGUUAAAGCACCUCAAACCACCUUGACUGAUUACCUCGGUAACUCUCAGCCAGGGCAAUUUUGCUCCUCAGGAAACAUUUGGCAAUGUCUGGAGACAUUCUGGGUCAUCACAGCUUGGUGGGGGGACACCUCCUAGCACCCAGAGGGUAGAGGCCAGGGGUGCUGCUAGACAUCCUGCAAUGCACAGAAGAGUCUCGCACAAUACAGAAUUAUCUGGUCCGAAAUGCUCUCCCCUGAGGGGAAGAUUCCGCUCCUCAGAAUUCCCACGCUCUCUGACCUGCACUAAACUCUUAAUCAUCCUCUGACCAGGGGUGGGGGGGUGCUGUUAGAAGACAGUAGGGAUUGAUCCUGCCUCUGCCUUUAAUAACAGCAGCUAACAUUUACUGAGCCCUUUUGAAGUGCUGGCCGGCACCAUACACAGAGAAACUCAUUUUAGUCUCACAACAACGGCAGGAGGCCCAGGCACUGUUACAAUCCCCAUUCUAAGCCCGAGGAGACAGGCAGAGAGAACACGAGGAAUCAGCUCAAGGUUACACAGCUGGCAAGGAUGGAGCUAGAUAUGAACUGAUCACUUUGGGACAAACCCACAGGGCAGAGUCCUCUCUGGAAAGGAGCCCACACAGCAGGGGCCUGGGCAAGUCCUUUUCCCUCUCUAGGCCGCCAUUUUUUCAUCUGUCAAAUGAGAUCUACUCUCUCAUUUAACCCGGCAACAAUUCUAGGAGGUGAGACACUGUUACCACCACUUCACAGGCUAGAAAGGCAAAGAUUCAUGAUUUAAGUCUCACGGUCAUAGGGCUGGGAAGUGGUGGGACAGAGAUUUGAACUCAGCUCUGCCUGACUCCAGGGCCCAUGACCUUGGUCAGGACACCUGCCCCCUGCCCCUGCCCCCCCAGUCAAGGUGCUAUGAAGCAAGAGAGCAGAAGCUCUGGAGCUGAGAGGACUUGGUAAACACAGACUGUCGGGCCCCACCCCCAGAAUUUCUGAUUCAGCAGAGUUUGCUUUUCAAAUAAGUCCCCAGGCAACGCUGGUGCUACCAGCCCAGGGAUCACAUUUGAGAACCCCUGCAACAGAGCAUGGUGUUAGAUCGCCUGUACCUGGGUUCAAAUCCUGGCUCUGUAACUUGGUGGUAUCACUUAACCUCUUCCUCGGAAGAUCAGAACUACAGCAACAUCUGUCACUUAGGGUUUGCUGAAAGGAUUAAGGGAGAGAAUGGCUAAGAGAAAGGCUCACUCAUGCUGCUGGCACCUAGCGAACAUGCUCAUAAAUGCUCGCCAGCGUAACAAUCCCCAACACAGGCAAGUCCCUCCUCCCCAGACAGACUGGAAGCUCCCAGGGGUGAAGGACUAAGCAAAGGCCUAAAACUUCCUUUUCUCCUGUCCACCAGCCACCUCCCCACGUCUGCACAGAGCGGGACACAGAGAUGACAUCUCAGAACAAACACAGCAGGGACAGUGGGAUGUAGCCCACAUCUACCAAGGCAUCCCAAGUGUCCUAUGCCCUGUGGCACAAGGCCUGUGGAGAGGGGUGAGGGUGGAGCACAGGCAGCACUGAAGACCCCCAGAUGGACCUGGCCCCUAGCCUUCCUCCAGGCCCUGCCCCAUCCCCAAUAAUCCCUUUUGGGGCAAGAGUUGGCUACGCAAGGCCCUGGUAGGAUAGUUUGUAUACCCUUACCCAAGCAACCCUUUGGGUACCAACCAACUCAACUCACAGUCCUGUUAUGCUGUGCGACCUUUAGCCAAUCGCUAGGCCUCUCUAGGUCUUAGUUUCUUUACCUAAAAGUCAAACAAGAACUCAGCAUAGUGGUUAACAGUGGCGGCUCCAGCCCCAGAAAAACUGGGUUCCAACCCCACUCCUGCCACUUACUAGCUGUGUGACUUUUGGCAAAUCCCUUCAUCUCUUAGAGACAGCUUCAGUUUCCUUGUUGGUAAAAUGGAAUUGUCCACGGCUCACAGGGAUGCUGUGAGCGUUACCUGAGAUGAUCAAUUUCAAGCGCUGAGCACAGUUCCUGGAGCUCAGUAGAUGCCAGGUAUUCCAUACAUGCGACGAGAGAGUGUAACCUUACCACCACUACAAACACAAUCUGUUGGCUGCCUUCCCUUCCCACCUGUCCCUCACAUGUUUAGCUUUGAGACUGUCUUCACCUUCCUUCCCCAUAGGGGCUGAGGAAGGCAGCUGGGAACAGUCUCCCAGAAGGGGUAGAUCUGAGCAGAAGCUUGGAAGAGGGAGGGUACACCCCUCCCUGUAAUCAAUUAUCAGCCUGCUAGACUGCAAGCCAUAGAAAGCGCUGUUUUUGCUACCAUUUUAUCCCCAGAGCCUAUGACAGAGACUAGGCACUUUGUAAAUACUGGCUGCAGGAAUGAAAGAGGGCCCAGGACAGACUCCCUUCCGUGGAGAGCGGGCCAAGGAGUCCCCUGGGUGAGGCGUGGUGGGGAGAGGAGUCCCGGAUUCUCUUUUUGCAUGCUCCUCAGACAGUUGGACUCAUAAAUUCUUUGAAACCUGGAAUCUCUGGUAGAGAGAAACUCUGGCUGCUGCCCAGCCCCACCUCCUCCCAGCAGUGCCCGGGGCUGGGCUUGGGAGGCCUGACAACCUAGCUGGAA